AAUGGACAAGAAAGAUAAAAAAAUAACAACACAAGAAAAUGAGGAAAUUAGCUCUUCUUCACAUGCUGUCCGGGCUUAUUCUUUUUUUUUUUUUUAUUACGUAAU
rnacentral:ribozyme from 1 species